CUACUGCUCUCCAAAAUAUAAAGUCAUCUCUAUUAUUAAUAAGUUGCUUUUUGAAUCAAGAUUGCUUUAUCACUUUAAGGAAAAUGCAAAUAUGGAGAAAUUUAUAAAAAAAGGCUUAUAAUAUCUAACUCAAAUGAAGAUAUGUUUUAAGGAUGUUGUUGUAACUGGAGAACAUGUGUGGAAACCAACAACUGGAGUUUUACCAGAUGGUAUACAAGGGAGUAGAUGAUUUCAAUCUGAGAAACCAUUUGAGUUUGACACUUCAAUAAACAAUGAAGAAUUUGUAAC